CCCUUAGAUGUUCUGGCUGCACGCGCGCUACACUGAAGCUAUCAACACGUUUUCCCUCCCUGAGAAGGGCGGGUAACCUUUUGAAUCAGCUUCGUGGUAGGGAUCGGGGCUUGCAAUUGUUCCCCGUGAACCAGGAAUUCCUAGUAGACGCGAGUCAUAAGCUCGCAUCGAUUAAGUCCCUGCCCUUUGUACACACCGCCCGUCGCUACUACCGAUUGAACGUUUUAGUGAGGCAUUUGGACCGACGCAUCUCAGUUUAACCGCUGGUUUGUGUUGGAAAGACUUCCAAACUUGAGCGUUUAGAGGAAGUAAAAGUCGUAACA
rnacentral:rRNA from 1 species